ACUCCGUGAUGAACGUAAAAUGACAAGCAUAUGGCUGAACCGAAGUGAUGUCAUACUAGGUGCUGAGAAGU
ensembl:snoRNA SNORD27 Small nucleolar RNA SNORD27